GCAGUCGGACGGUUUGUCGCUGGUAAAGUAGGUUGGGGUAUUCCCUUCCGAACACGAGAGGAAAGUCCGGGCAGCAUAAGGCAUCCCACUUGCUAAUCUACAAGUAGUCAGCAAUGGCUAAGUAGUGCAGAAGAAAACAACCGCCUCGCAAGAGGUAAGGGUGAGAAGGUGGGGUAAGAGCCCACCAGCGGUGUGGUGACGCAUCGGCUGUGUACCUUGGGAGCUGCAAGUUCAUGUAAACUGUCGAUUGCGAUGGUGUGUACACUUCGGUGUAGGCAUCGUUGCUGAUGAGGGUUGCCCGCCCAAGACAGAGGGUAGAACGCUUGAGACAUGCGGUGACGCGUGUUCUGGAUAAAUGACAAACACCUGAGCUUCUUAAUUUGACCUCCGCCUUGCAUGAAGUCUCGCUCAGGCACAGAACCCGGCUUAUAGGCCGACUGCUUUC
rnacentral:RNase_P_RNA from 1 species